AGACAGCAGUAGCCGCGGUAAUACGUAGGGUGCGAGCGUUAAUCGGAAUUACUGGGCGUAAAGCGUGCGCAGGCGGUUCGUUAAGACAGAUGUGAAAUCCCCGGGCUUAACCUGGGAACUGCAUUUGUGACUGACGGGCUAGAGUAUGGCAGAGGGGGGUAGAAUUCCACGUGUAGCAGUGAAAUGCGUAGAGAUGUGGAGGAAUACCGAUGGCGAAGGCAGCCCCCUGGGCCAAUACUGACGCUCAUGCACGAAAGCGUGGGGAGCAAACAGGAUUAGAUACCCCAGUAGUCCCUGUCUCUUAUAC
rnacentral:rRNA from 1 species